AUUGAACGCUGGCGGCAGGCCUAACACAUGCAAGUCGAACGGUAGCACAGAGAGCUUGCUCUCGGGUGACGAGUGGCGGACGGGUGAGUAACGUCUGGGAAACUGCCCGAUGGAGGGAGAUAACUACUGGAAACGGUAGCUAAUACCGCAUAACGUCGCAAGACCAAAGCGGGGGACCUUCGGGCCUCACCCCAUCGGAUGGUCCCAGAUGGGAUCAGCUAGUAGGUGGGGUAAUGGCUGACCUAGGCGACGAUCCCUAGCUGGUCUGAGAGGAUGACCAGCCACACUGGAACUGAGACACGGUCCAGACUCCUACGGGAGGCAGCAGUGGGGAAUAUUGCACAAUGGGCGCAAGCCUGAUGCAGCCAUGCCGCGUGUAUGAAGAAGGCCUUCGGGUUGUAAAGUACUUUCAGCGGGGAGGAAGGCGGUGAAGUUAAUAACUUCACCGAUUGACGUUACCCGCAGAAGAAGCACCGGCUAACUCCGUGCCAGCAGCCGCAGUAA
rnacentral:rRNA from 1 species